rnacentral:rRNA from 1 species
UGCUCGCAAGAGAACCGGAACACAGGUGCUGCAUGGCUGUCGUCAGCUCGUGUCGUGAGAUGUUGGGUUAAGUCCCGCAACGAGCGCAACCCUUGUCAUUAGUUGCUACGCAAGAGCACUCUAAUGAGACUGCCGGUGACAAACCGGAGGAAGGUGGGGAUGACGUCAAGUCCUCAUGGCCCUUAUGGGUAGGGCUUCACACGUCAUACAAUGGUCGGGACAGAGGGUCGCCAACCCGCGAGGGGGAGCCAAUCUCAGAAACCCGAUCGUAGUCCGGAUCGCAGUCUGCAACUCGACUGCGUGAAGUCGGAAUCGCUAGUAAUCGCGGAUCAGAAUGUCGCGGUGAAUACGUUCCCGGGUCUUGUACACACCGCCCGUCACACCAUGGGAGUGGGUUUCACCAGAAGUAGGUAGCCUAACC